rnacentral:lncRNA from 1 species
UAAAAUUAAAUAUGAUAAUUAAUAAAAUUAUUAUUUGUUUACAAAUGAAUGAUUAUUUAAUUAAUUAUUUGUUUAAUAAUUAAUAAAUAAAUAAUUGUUUUUUAGAUUUUAAAAAUGCCACGUAGAGUGAAGAAAUUACCUCUUUAGAGGGCUCCGCCAUCCAAUCCCCAAGAUGCUUUCCGAUUUUAUAUCACGGUUCAUCCUGCACCGACACCUGUACGUCCUGCACCGGCACCUGUUCGUUCAGCACCGGCCAAACCGAGAGUUGUAUAAUAAAUUUUGUAUAAUAUACAUAAGUUAUGAAAUAUAUAAUAUAAAUAUAUAAUAAAAAAAUUUAUAUAAUAUAAGUUUAUAAUAUAAAUAUAAAAUAAUAAAAUAUAGUAAAAAUGUUAAACGAACCGUCGAACCUUAACCAAGGUUUGUGUUUGAUUCGUUUAAUUAAACGAAUCUAUUUCAAUGUUCGGGUUCGGUUCUUUAAUAACCGAACCGAACCCGAAACGAACCGAAUUAUUUGUCGAAUACCGAACUUUUGUUGCAACUAGUUAAAAAAUGUGUUUCACAUUAUUUCAUCAGGCAAAAUGUGUGGACAAGCUUUGAGUGUGAUAUAGAUUAAGCGAGAACACAUAAUAGCAAUACUACACACUAGCACAAUAUGGUCAACAUGUUCAUGACUAAAUACAUGUAACAGAAGAGUAUCAGUACACACUAGCAUAGUGUUGUAAACUUGUUCACUAAUUGAUGCCCUGCCCCGAUUCUUAUCCAAGACCCGGUGACCGGGGCACGGAUCCGAGACGACCCGCCUGGAAUUUAAAAGUAAACCUAAAAUUUAAAAUAGAUAAACCAUUUACCCUAAUUUUUAAAAGUAAAAACAUAAAAUAAAUCUAAAAAGGAUAUAAGGUAAAAGAGCUAAGACUUAAGCUUAAAAUGUAAUAAAUUUGUAAUUUUAAUAAUCCUAUAUCUAAUAUAAUAUGGAGGGAUGCCAUGAGUAUGGGAUGUGAUUCUAUUGAUAUUAUAGACCACAUUUGAAAAACAAAAAUCCCAAAGCUGUAAAGGAAUAUUCGAAUGAUACAAAAGAGUCAAACCAUUUUGGACGAUAUUGCGAAUUUUCCUUUCUGAUGUACCACUCUGUUCCGAUGUGUGAGGACAUGAACGACGAUGUUGUAUCCCGGAAUCCUGAAGAAUAGGAAGUAAGGAUUGAUACUCUCAUCCGAAGUCGGAUUGAAGCAUCUUGAUUUUCCUAGAAAAUUGAUUUUCGACAAAUUUCUGAAAAGUUAUAAAAAUUUGAAGCACACAAGAUUUGGUUCUAAGAUGAUACAACCAGAUAUAUCUAGAAAAUCAUCAAUGAAAACAAUAAAAUAUCGGUGAGCCGAAAUAGAUGAUAUAAUUGCCGGCCCCCACACAUCACUAUGAAUCAAAUCUAAAGGAGCCGAUCAUUUAGAAUUUGUAGAUGGUAGUUGAAGUUUAGAACUUUUACCAACUAAGCAAGCAACACAUUUAUGAAACGAAGAUGAAGUAGCAACAAUAUUUGAGAAAUUAAGAGUUUUCCGAGUAAUUGAUUCACAUGGGUGACCAAGUCGUUGGUGCCAACAGUGUAGUGAUGACCUUUCCAUUAGGUUGACUUGGGGAGCUGUGACUGUAGAUAGUCGAUAGAAGGAUCCAUCAUGUAAACUUAGGAGUAGUGUUUGGUGAUAGCCUGAACCUUAACAACAAAAUGAUAAGGAUAAAACACAAAAUAACACAAAUUAUCAGAUGAGAAUUUAUAGACAGAAAUGAGAGAUUUCGAAAUUGAAGGGGUAUGAAGCAAAUUUUUAAGUUUAAAAAUGGAGAAUGAAUUUUGCAAAAUACCAGAUCCAUAGUGUUGAAUGGGUUGUUUUGACCCAUCACCUAGACGGGAAGAACCGCUACCGCAACUUGGGUCCAUAUGGGUGAAAUCCGACAGUUGGAAGGUGAAGUGGUGGGUAGCGUCGGAAUCGACGACCCCACUGACGGCGCCGACGAUCCUCCAGAGUACGAGCCUGCCUGCGCGACAUAGGCGGAUGGCGCUACUGGUGGCGGUGCUGCUGCGACGGACGGUGCUUGGUUGCGGUGUUGAAAUACCGCCGCCGUCGCCUGAUCCUUGUAGGGGCCGUGCUCUGAACUGUCGCAAAUCGGACAUGGAUCCCUCCGGUAUCCUCCUUUCAUACCCUUCUCAGAUGACAUGUUACCGCCUGUCGUGACAGUUCCAUUCCUGCUGCUUCUAUUCUGUCCGCGAUUUUUAUUCCCGCUGCCUUUGUAUGCGGUGUAUUGGGCCGACGUUGUUAAGAGAUUAGAGGCUGCAAUCUGCCCAAUACGGAUCUCGUGAUUAAUAAGGGUGCUACUAAAAGUGGCAAACGAUGGUGACACUUCCCUUGCGAAGAGGGUAGCAACAACUUCGGAAAAUUCAUUUCCAACAUUGUUGAAGAUUGCGGCAUUGACAGUUCCACUUUCAAGGAUUGUUCCGGCAACGGCGAGUUCAUCGAUGAUUAACCGGACUUGUCGGAGAUAUGCCAAGUCUCCUUGAUCUCCCUUUCGAAAAUUGAAGAGUUGCAUUUGUAAUUGCAACAAUCUUGAUUGAGUAGGAGCCCCAAAAGUCUCACGCAAGGUUUCCCAUAUUUCUAACGACAAUGUGAGACCUACUGUGUAUGGUAGCACUUCUUCAGUUGGACUUGAAAUCAGCCAACUUCGAAGCAGUUGGUCAUUCUUCCACCAGCUCAGAUAUGCUGGAUUGAUUGAAGGUUGGCCUUCCUUCCCGAUUGUUAUUUUCUCCGGCACGAUGCUUGAUUUCUCAACCACACAAUGUAGGUUUGUGUAGUUUAGAAUCGGUUCAAACUAAUUCUUCCAGAGCAUAUAGUUUGAGGGACUUAGCUUGAUGUGCAGCAGAUGUUGAAGCGAUCCCAAGCUCGGAGUGGUUGUUGGCAUGAUGGCAAUCGAUUCCAUGGGUGUGAUGAUUGAUUUCACCAAUGGUGAUGCAAACGCGUUCGGUAGCUCUGAUACCAUGUUCGAUGACUUGGGAGGCACAACUGAGGCCUUGGGAUUUGCAUCGGGAGAUGACAUGAUUUGGGGACGACGGGAGUGAGGGAUUGCAAAUCUGUUUUGGGUUGAUUUAGCCUUGGUAUUUAACUCACCGGAAGGCCUUGUAUUUAUAUGAUUUAAAUAAACAUAAAUGAUAUGACUACCCUUAGAUGUACGCAUAUUUACAUCUAUACCAUCAUGAGUGACUCACUCACUAACUGCCAUAUAAUGAGUCACUAAUAUUAAAACAGUGUGUGUCAUUUCCUUUUACCAUUUUAUUUCUUCUUCCUUUGUCCAUGACUUUCAACCUCUCCGGUGUAUCCUACGAUCUUAGCUCCACCACCAAAUCCGCCAAGAAAUUACCUAAAUCUAAUACUCAUCGGACUCGCACGGAGGCUGUAGCAAUACAAAGGUGGAUGGUGAACAUAUAAUUUUUUUAAAAUUUUAGUAUUAGUUUCCACUUUAAUUUUUCGUAAUUAAUGAAUCAUCUGAUCUUCAUCAAACAAACAAUCUUUAACAUUUUUUAAUAAAUCAAUUCUUACUUUAAUUAUUAUUUAAACGUUAAUUUUGGAAAUUGUGAAAAGCAGAAACUUUUGCACUUUCUAAAGAAGUAAUUAGCAUUAAUUAAGACUAACUGGACUAACGUAUAAUUAGAGAAAACACAGGUAUGCAGGUUUGUCAAGAAGGAAAUGGAAUGCAGGGACAAAGCUGCAAAUAUUUCAAUAAAUAUCCAGAUAGGCCAAAGAAAUAAAAGAAAGCAAUUGGGCCCGUAUUUCAAUUAGUCCAUUAAAGAUAGUUAGUUGUUAGUUAGUGUUAGUUGGUCAUUUGGUUCAAUAAGUUUAGUAUUAAUACAAAUCAGUUUAAUUAACAUUCAAUUAAUUCUAUCUGAUUUCAUUUUCUCCUAAUACAAUAGUUACUACUAAUCAUCUACAGUAGUAACCAACGGUUAGAAAUUAAGUAAUACUAAGAGUAAUACAAUAAGUAAAGUUUUAUUUGAUCUAAUACACAUAGACAUUUGGGGCAAGUUCCCAAUUGACACUCAUGAUGGCUUUAAAUAUUUUCUAACUAUAGUAGAAGAUUUAGGUAGAACAAUUUCGAUCUAUCUAAUCAAAGAUAAAUCUUUUGCUUAUGAAUGCAUAAAGAAAUUCAUCAUAAAAGUUAGAAACUAUUUUUGCACAAAUAUUAAAGCAAUAAGGAGUGACAAUGGUGGAGAAUUUAAAUCCAAUAAUUUCAAAAAUAUGUUUGAAGAUUUUGGAAUUAUACACCAACUCACAUGCCCUUACAACCCUCAACAAAAUGCAAAGGUUGAAAGAAAACAUAGAUGUCUAUUAAACAUAGCUAGAUCUCUACAUAUACAAGCUAACAUACCCGUAAAAUAUUGGGGAGAAUGUAUCAUGGCUGCAACCUACAUAAUAAAUAGAAUCCAAUCUAAAACUUAGAUAAUAAAACCUCAUUUGAAAUUCUACACAAAGAAAAACCAAAAUAUAAUUUCUUAAGAACAUUUGGGUGUAUGUGUUAUGCAACAAUACACAACAAAGAACAUAAGUUCUCUCCAAGGACUUUUAGGGGAGUAUUUAUGGGAUAUCCUCCUAAUAUAAAAGGAUAUCUAAUAACUGAACUUCCCAAAGGAAGGAAGGUAGUAGGAUCCAAGUGGAUAUACAAAAUCAAAUACAAACCAAAUGGAGAGAUUGAGAGAUAUAAAGCAAGGCUAGUAGCCAAAGGCUUCUCUCAAACGGAAUGUUUGGAUUUUUAUGAAACUUUUGCACCUGUUGCAAAAAUGACAACAGUAAGGAUAUUAAUUGCUUUUGCAGCACAAAAGAGAUGGAACCUAUACCAAAUUAAUGUCAAUAAUAUCUUCCUUCAUGGUGAUCUUCAUGAGGAAGUAUACGUAAAGCCACUCCAAGGCCUUCUCAUAGAAUGAGACAAGAGAGUAUGCAAACUUAACAAAUCUUUAUAUGGCCUUAAAUAUGCGUCUAGAAAUUGGUUUGAAAAAUUAAGAAACACACUACUAGAUUUUGGCUUCAUACAAACCAUAUUAGAUUACUUUCUAUUUAUAAUAGAGAGAAAUAAAAACAUAAUAUACCUAAUUGUCUAUUUGGAUAAUAUUAUCAUUACAGGUAGCAAUGAGAUAGAAAUAAGCAUCCUUAAAAUACAAUUAGAAAAUAAGUUUAAAUUGAAAGACCUUGGGAAACUAAACUAUUUUUUAGGAAUAGAAGUAUCAUAUUCUAGUGAAGGAAUCCUAUUAUCUCAAAGGAAAUAUGCACUAGAAAUACUUGAAGAAAGAGGCAUAUCAGGAGCAAAAGAACCCAAAAUAACAAUGGAAAGAAAUAUAGACCUUAAGAGUGAAUCCAAAUAAAUUGGAAACCCAACUUUCUAUAGAAAACUAGUUGGCAAACUAAUAUAUCUCAAUAUCACCAGGCCUGACCUGAGUUAUGCAGUUCACUGGCUCAGCCAGUUCAUGAGUGAAACAAAGGAGGUUCAUCUGAAAGCAUUAUUUAAAAUACUAAGCUAUCUAACGAGUGCACCAGGACAAGGCAUUUUAUAUAAAAAUAGUGAAGAUCUAAGCAUUCAUGCCUUUGUGACUCUGAUUGGACAGGAUGCCAAAUCAGCAGGAAGUCAGUAACUGGCUUCUGCAUUUCAAUUGGAUAUUCAGUCAUAUCCUGGAAAUCCAUGAAGCAAUCAAUAAUAUCAAGAUCCUCAUGUGAGGCUGAAUACAGGGAAAUAGCUCAAACAACCUGUGAGGUAAUAUGGAUUCAUCAGUUAAUCAAAGAAAUGAAAAUCAAAACUAAUAAUCAAAAAACAAUAUACUAUGAUAAUAAAUCAAUAAUCAAUCUAGCUAAUAACCCUAUGUUUCAUGAAAGAAAAAAAUACAUAGAGAUGGAUUACCAUUUUAUUAGAGAACUAAUCUCCCAUGGAGUGUUUUGUCUUAAGAAAAUUGGAACAAAGUACCAAUUGGCAAACAUGUUUACUAAACCUAUGAGAGAAAAUGAGAUUACUUCAACCUAUGUCAAGCUUGAAAUCAUAAAUAUUUAUUCCAGAGCUUGAGGGGUGAGUAAAUAAGUAAUUAACACUAAUUAAGACUAACUGGACUAAUGUGUAAUUAGAGAAAACAUAGGUAUGCAGGUUUGUCAAGAAGGAAAUGGAAUAAAGGGACAAUGCCGGAAAUAUUUCAAUAAAUAUCCAGAUGGGCCAAAGAAAUAAAAGAAAGCAAUUGGGCCCGUAUUUGAAUUAGUCCAUUAAAGAUAGUUAGUUGUUAGUUAUUGUUAGUUGGUCAUUUGGUUCAAUAACUUUAGUAUUAAUACAAAUCAGUUUAAUUAACCUUCAAUUAAUUCAAUCUGAUUUCAUUUUCUCCUAAUACAAUAGUUACUACUAAUCGUCUAUAGUAGUAAUCAACGGUUAGAAAUUAGGUAACACGAGUAAACCUAAUUUUUCCCCCUUCUCUCCGAUUUCUCGACGUCUGGCGAGCAUCUACUGCCGGCUCCGGUGCAGCUCUUUCUCAUAGCUAAAGAAGGAAGUUCAAUCCCGCAUUUUAACACUUUCCAACAAAAAGGAUUUUCUUUCUUUCAAAUCGUUGCAGAUCAUAUUUGUCUUCCUUCC